UUGCCAAGGAGAAAGUUCUAAAAAGGACAUGCCUAAAAGAGCCCGCAUACCACCAAAGAAGAUGAGACUAUAUGAACCAGACCCCAGGCCACCCAAAGAUGACCAGCAUGGUGUUUUUGUAUUUUUGACAUUUGAAGAUGGAUACACGGCAAAGAUUUUUAAGGUCUGUCAUGUACUAAACAAAGAUGAGAAACCUAUAACUGGUGAUGUAGUACUAGCAAGAUGGUCUGACAACAAAUUCUACAAUGCCACAGUGGACUACAUUGGAACAGCUGACAAGACAGUGGAUGCAAGGAAAGGCUCAAAGAAAGACAUUAAAAAAAGAGAUGCAGUUGCUGAGAGAUUCUAUAAACUCCACUCACUAGCUCAAGGCGUUCAAUCCUGCUCUGCACAGCCAAACCCAAAUUGUUUGGAGUGCAGUACCAUUCACCCUCCACCUACUCGGUCAUCUCCACCUCCUGAGCCACAGCACCAGCCUACACCUAACACCUAACUUUGCUACAUCCAUCCUCAGUAUCCACAGCCUCAUGUUGUGCAGCUCAUGCCUCCAGACCAAUUGCAACAGCUGCCUGUUUUGGUGGAUUUGGAUCAACAACAGAAAUCAACAACCCUAAAUAACCUAACAGCCAAAGAAAGAUUUCUUAGAAUGAUGUACAGUCCCACUAUUCCUAAAAGAUCAUCUACUGUUCAUACUGAGGGGAGUCAGGCUAGUACGUCUCAAUACGAGAGUUCUUCAUCAAGCUCAUUAUCAUCUGCAGACACUUGUAGCAUUGAACGUGAUCCACUACCAGGAUAUGGAGAACCACGUGUGCAAAUUGAAUCAAGAGAUGUUAGGCAUGUUAGGAUGAGGUGGCAAAAUUAAUAUCAGUGAAGGGGAAAUUGGAGGAUGUGCUGUGUAGUAUCAGUGCUGUACAACUUGAGGCAUUACGGGGCUUUCUGGAUCAAGUUGAAAAGAUACAUCCUCAGGCUGGUGUCGUGCCUACAAAAAUCCAAUCAGGGAAACAAGAGCUUUACCAAGGUUGUGGCCUCUUCCUGUCCUCUACCCGGUUGGCUGCAAUCCAUGCAGAUGCAAGAAAGGACUGCCUUUGACUAUUUCAUCUGCUUUUUGAUGAAUUCUUCACUGCUGAGGGGUGCCAAAAUGCAGUGGCAUUUGGAAAACACGGAGCCAAAACAAGUUGCCAGAAGGGAAAGCAGUCCUGGACAAGUCCAAAUUCGAUGGGAUUCUUACACAUUUGUCAUUUUGUAGAUCACUGUUUUUUUGCAGAUCUGCGUUUUGUGUUUGUUUAUUCACACAGUUGGAGUAUUUCAUGUUUUGUUUUACAACAUCCACAUGAAGUUGUUGCUGAUGAAUUAAUCAUUGAAUAGCCAGCAACACACACUAUUUGCUUGGUUUCCUUUGUGGCGCAGGGAAUUAAUUCCCCCGAAGAUCCAUUCAAAAAGAGAGAAAAUUCCCACUCACACCUUUCACCUCUAAAUUGUUUGUUUGUCAAUGUUUCAGUCAUGGGGAUUUUCUGAGGCUGAACGAUUAAUGGCAUUUGCAAUAAUAUCGCAAUAUGUUAAAACACAAUUUCGCAAAAGGUGUGAUUUGGUCAUGUGACUCGCGAGAGCAAAGCAGUCUGCACUCUGCAGAGAAUGCACUGGGCAACCUUGACCUUUGUACAAUGGCCUCAGGCUCGACAGAAACUUAAGUGCCAAAUAGGAACAGUAUGUCACUUGUGUGGGACUAUUUUGGUUUAAAAAAAGAUGAUGCACAGGUAUUGUGCAAAAUCUGUCUUGGCAUACAAGGCAAAGUUGGCGGGUGCUAAUUUCCCACCCUGUGUGUGUGUGUGUGAGAGAGAGAGAUCAGGACACAAAUAGGAGAUUAACUUUUUCCCUGGUAACAAUUUAGUCAGGAUUUUCUACACCAUGGUUACUGUAUGCAAGGUGAAUUUAUCUUUAAUUUAUGCUUUCUUUUAUUCUUGCAGCCUACAUCAUGCGCUGUGGAACACUUGAUUGAUGGACACCUGUGGACAAGGCCAAGGUCAAAAAAGCCUUGAUUAACAAAUGCCGCAUGAGGACCACAAAGACAUAGACACUACAUUCUCUAGCACACUAGAGAGGUGGAGAUAUGUUUUUAUUUAUGUUUAUAUUUAAGUUCUUGCUGCUAAUGUUGCCGAAAAGUGCUGUUUUUGAAAGUGCUGUUUGAAAGUGUCAGACAUUAUGGA